AUUGAACGCUGGCGGCAUGCCUUACACAUGCAAGUCGAACGGUAACAGGUCUUCGGAUGCUGACGAGUGGCGAACGGGUGAGUAAUACAUCGGAACGUGCCUAGUAGUGGGGGAUAACUACUCGAAAGAGUGGCUAAUACCGCAUGAGAUCUACGGAUGAAAGCAGGGGAUCGCAAGACCUUGUGCUACUAGAUCGGCCGAUGGCAGAUUAGGUAGUUGGUGGGAUAAAAGCUUACCAAGCCGGCGAUCUGUAGCUGGUCUGAGAGGACGAUCAGCCACACUGGGACUGAGACACGGCCCAGACUCCUACGGGAGGCAGCAGUGGGGAAUUUUGGACAAUGGGUGCAAGCCUGAUCCAGCAAUGCCGCGUGCAGGAUGAAGGCCUUCGGGUUGUAAACUGCUUUUGUACGGAACGAAAAGCCCUGGGUUAAUACCCUGGGGUCAUGACGGUACCGUAAGAAUAAGCACCGGCUAACUACGUGCCAGCCGCCGCGGUAA
rnacentral:rRNA from 1 species